rnacentral:rRNA from 1 species
UACGGAGGAUGCGAGCGUUAUCCGGAUUUAUUGGGUUUAAAGGGUGCGUAGGCGGGAUGCCAAGUCAGCGGUAAAAAUGCGGUGCUCAACGCCGUCGAGCCGUUGAAACUGGCGUUCUUGAGUGGGCGAGAAGUAUGCGGAAUGCGUGGUGUAGCGGUGAAAUGCAUAGAUAUCACGCAGAACUCCGAUUGCGAAGGCAGCGUACCGGCGCCAGACUGACGCUGAGGCACGAAAGCGUGGGGAUCGAACAGG